UGUCUAAGUAUAAGCACUUAUACCGUGAAACUGCGAAUGGCUCAUUAAAUCAGUUAUCGUUUAUUUGAUAGUACCUUUACCUGGAUAACCGUGGUAAUUCUAGAGCUAAUACAUGCUAAAAACCCCGACUUCGGGAGGGGUGUAUUUAUUAGAUAAAAAACCAAUGCCCUUCGGGGCUCCUUGGUGAUUCAUAAUAACUUAACGAAUCGCAUGGCCUUGCGCCGGCGAUGGUUCAUUCAAAUUUCUGCCCUAUCAACUUUCGAUUGUAGGAUAGAGGCCUACAAUGGUCUUAACGGGUAACGGGGAAUUAGGGUUCUAUUCCGGAGAGGGAGCCUGAGAAACGGCUACCACAUCCAAGGAAGGCAGCAGGCGCGCAAAUUACCCAAUCCCGAUACGGGGAGGUAGUGACAAUAAAUACUGAUACGGGGCUCUUUCGGGUCUCGUAAUUGGAAUGAGUACAAUCUAAAUCCCUUAACGAGGAACAAUUGGAGGGCAAGUCUGGUGCCAGCAGCCGCGGUAAUUCCAGCUCCAAUAGCGUAUAUUAAAGUUGUUGCCGUUAAAAAGCUCGUAGUUGAACCUUGGCCCUGGCUGAUCUGUCCUCCUAAUCGAGCGCACGGAUUCGGUCGGGGCUUUCCUUCUGGGGAGCCCCAUGCCCUUCACUGGGUGUGGCGGGGAACCAGGACUUUUACCUUGAAAAAAUUAGAGUGUUCAAAGCAGGCCUUUGCUCGAAUACAUUAGCAUGGAAUAAUAGAAUAGGACAUCGGUUCUAUUUUGUUGGUUUCUAGGACCGCUGUAAUGAUUAAUAGGGACAGUCGGGGGCGUCAGUAUUCAAUUGUCAGAGGUGAAAUUCUUGGAUUUAUUGAAGACUAACUACUGCGAAAGCAUUCGCCAAGGAUGUUUUCAUUAAUCAGUGAACGAAAGUUAGGGGAUCGAAGACGAUCAGAUACCGUCGUAGUCUUAACCAUAAACUAUGCCGACUAGGGAUCGGACGGUGGUUUUUUAUGCCCCGUUCGGCACCUUACGAGAAAUCAAAGUUUUGGGCUCGGGGGGGA
rnacentral:rRNA from 1 species